rnacentral:lncRNA from 1 species
ACCGAGCGAACCCAAGGAUGGGGACUCACCUACCAGUAGAGGGUGUGAUCCUUAGAAACAGUCCUGGUAUUCUAUAACUAGGUAGCCAACAUAGGUUAAGACAUCAACCUACCAGUUAAGGGUUUGUGAGGUGUAUAACCUGCCAGUUAAGGGUACCACCAUUCUCGUUCAGAGCACCUACCAGAUGAGGGUGACUCAGCACUUAUCUUUAUUCAUGGCACGAUACUGACACCCUUU